GUGCUCGCUUUGGCAGCACAUAUACUAAAAUUGGAACAAUACAAAGAUUAGCAUGGCCCCCUGCACAAGGAUGACACACAAAUUUAUGAAAUGUUCCAUAUUAAA
rnacentral:snRNA from 1 species